rnacentral:rRNA from 1 species
CAUUGUAGGCUUUGGAAACUGUUUAACUUGAGUGCAGAAGGGGAGAGUGGAAUUCCAUGUGUAGCGGUGAAAUGCGUAGAUAUAUGGAGGAACACCGGUGGCGAAAGCGGCUCUCUGGUCUGUAACUGACGCUGAGGCUCGAAAGCGUGGGGAGCGAACAGGAUUAGAUACCCUGGUAGUNCACGCCGUAAACGAUGAGUGCUAGGUGUUAGGUCCUUUCCGGGACUUAGUGCCGCAGCUAACGCAUUAAGCACUCCGCCUGGGGAGUACGACCGCAAGGUUGAAACUCAAAGGAAUUGACGGGGGCCCGCACAAGCGGUGGAGCAUGUGGUUUAAUUCGAAGCAACGCGAAGAACCUUACCAGGUCUUGACAUCCCGAUGCCCGCUCUAGAGAUAGAGCUUUACUUCGGUACAUCGGUGACAGGUGGUGCAUGGUUGUCGUCAGCUCGUGUCGUGAGAUGUUGGGUUAAGUCCCGCAACGAGCGCAACCCUUAUUGUUAGUUGCCAUCAUUCAGUUGGACACUCUAGCGAGACUGCCGGUAAUAAACCGGAGGAAGGUGGGGAUGACGUCAAAUCAUCAUGCCCCUUAUGACCUGGGCUACACACGUGCUACAAUGGCUGGUACAACGAGUCGCAAGCCGGUGACGGCAAGCUAAUCUCUGAAAGCCAGUCUCAGUUCGGAUUGUAGGCUGCAACUCGCCUACAUGAAGUCGGAAUCGCUAGUAAUCGCGGAUCAGCACGCCGCGGUGAAUACGUUCCCGGGCCUUGUACACACCGCCCGUCACACCACGAGAGUUUGUAACACCCGAA